GUCAGAAUGGCCGAGCGGUCCUAAGGCGCCAGACUCAAAGGUUUAUGCCCUUCUCCAAAACAGAGUAGAUUUUCUGGUCUCCAAAUGGAGGCGUGGGUUCAAUCCCACUUUUUCCU
rnacentral:tRNA from 1 species